rnacentral:lncRNA from 1 species
AUGAGGAGUUAAACCUGAAUGGCAAAUUCAUGAAUUGUUAAGGCCUACCAGGUAGGAAUUUUUUCAAGAACCCCAAUAUUCAGCUUUAAACAGUAAAUGAUAUUCUCAACCUAGGUUAGAAAUAUAGAUAGGAGUUCAACUUUUUGGGUGACGAAUAGAGAAUAUCAGAUAGGCAUGUACAUUAAAAAAUUUUCUUUACAAAUUAGACCAAAGUAGAGUUUAAAACAAAAUAUUUAAAUACAUUUUUAAUCAAAUGGUGCCAUCUCUCCCUAGAUAAAAUAAUAGCUAUCGACAGUGACUAUAAAUUAUCAACAAGUUAACAUAGGGUCAAAAUCCAAAACAAGUCUAAGAUUAUAACUAUGUUAAA